GUGCGUGGCCUUCAAAACCGCAGAGGAGGCAGAGUCGGCGAUCAGCUCCCUGGAUGGUUCGACUCU
rnacentral:tRNA from 1 species